AGAGUGCGUAAUAGCUCACUGGUCAAGUGAUUCCGCGCCGAUAAUGUAGCGGGGCUUAAGUUAUCCGCCGAAGCUGUGGCAACCUGUGUGGUUGGGUAGGGGAGCGUCGUGUCAGUGGUGAAGCUGCCGGGUGACUGUGUGGUGGAGUUGAUGCGAGUGAGAAUGCAGGCAUGAGUAGCGAAAGACGGGUGAGAAACCCGUCCGCCGGAUGACUAAGGGUUCCAGGGUCAAGCUAAUCUGCCCUGGGUAAGUCGGGACCUAAGGCGAGGCCGACAGGCGUAGUCGAUGGACAACGGGUUGAUAUUCCCGUACCAGUGAAGAA
rnacentral:rRNA from 1 species